GACGAACGCUGGCGGCGUGCUUAACACAUGCAAGUCGAACGGUAAGGCCCUUCGGGGUACACGAGUGGCGAACGGGUGAGUAACACGUGGGUGAUCUGCCCUGCACUUCGGGAUAAGCCUGGGAAACUGGGUCUAAUACCGGAUAGGACCCUGGGAUGCAUGUCCUGGGGUGGAAAGCUUUUGCGGUGUGGGAUGGGCCCGCGGCCUAUCAGCUUGUUGGUGGGGUGAUGGCCUACCAAGGCGACGACGGGUAGCCGGCCUGAGAGGGUGACCGGCCACACUGGGACUGGGAUACGGCCCAGACUCCUACGGGAGGCAGCAGUGGGGAAUAUUGCACAAUGGGCGCAAGCCUGAUGCAGCGACGCCGCGUGAGGGAUGACGGCCUUCGGGUUGUAAACCUCUUUCAGCACCGACGAAGCGCAAGUGACGGUAGGUGCAGAAGAAGGACCGGCCAACUACGUGCCAGCCGCCGCCGCAG
rnacentral:rRNA from 1 species